GUUGAGGCAGAGAACUGACUUGAGUGUCGGAGGGUCUUGCCGGAGCAACCCCACCUCCGGUUUAGACUUCUUUUGCAGGUCCCGACGGCGACCGCGACUCCCUCGACUCCAGCUUCUCCGGCGCAAGCGGAUUUUUGCACCAACAAGGAGCAACAGCAAGACCUAUCAUUUUACUCAUAUAUACAUUAAUCCAAACUCAAGUAGUGGUAAUAAAAGAAAAUCCUCUAAAAUAUUGAUUCAGUAAAAGGAUAGCUCACAUAGACUAAUAAUGAUAAAAAAAAGAAAGUCCAAAUCAAAUUUUAUUCAAAGCCAAAAUUAAGCAAAUGAUAUUUAAGAUCCUAUGCUCCUCACUAGCAAGCCACAUAUAUUCUUUUAGAUCUUGAAAAAAUAGAAAAAGUGAGUGAGCUUUACAAACUCGAUAAGUUUUCAAUAUCUCUGAAAGAUCAAGCAUAAUUAGAUUUUUUUUCAAAUAUAAUAAUUGAUAAUAUAUAUAUAUAUAUAUCCGUGUGUGUGUGCACGCAUGCGUGCAUGUGUGUGUACCAACAUAAUUUUUAAUCUUAAAAAAUAUAUCACAUAUAAUAGUAAAACUUGAAAUCCUCUCUCAGUCUUCGGUGAAUACAGCUAUGAUUAGUCCCAUGACAUGGCUCAGAAGAGACUAGCCUAAAAAAUACAUGCAAUCUAUCUGCGUGUACUAGUAAUCCACCCCAUUGGUUAGGCCCAAAGGAGAAAAGAGGGAGAAAGGGGAUGGCUGCUAUGAUGAUCUUCGGUGGAAAAGAUUGAGGGCCUGAGAAUUUUAAAAAGCAAUGGAGGCUUGAAUUUUCUAGCCUCCAAUAAAGUCGAAUUGGAGGAGGAUUCUUCCUCUUCCAUCUCACAAAAACAUAGAAAAAAUGAGGGAGUCCUUUAUUUUCCAAUUGAGAGGAUGGCUAUCGGACCCUUUUUUUGGAAUCGGGCCUAUCUCGAGCCCAAACAGACUGGGCCUCCCAUCUACGAACACGACUGCAUAGAAAAAAAAAUAUAAGAACAGGUGGCCUCAUAUUUCUCCCCUAUGGAUGGUCGCACAAAAAUGUAGCUAUUGUCCAUAUAGGAAAAUAAGCAUGAAUACCUGCAUCAAGAUAUUCCACUGGUAGGGGUAGUCUUUUAGAACCAGGAGACUGAGGGUUAGGGGAGGAGGCAAGGAUGGACAAGAGAAUUGUUGGACAUUUCGUAUCUCUAUUUUGGUAGAAGAAGAAUAUAGGUAAUGCACUACAUCGCUAGGGAUUGCCCUUCCUCAAAUACCCCUAUCACCCAAUUCCUGGUAAAGGCAUGAUUUUAUCAAAUUAUUUGGUCCACCUAGCAACUUGAUAACUUGGCACUUUUGUCUUCCCAUUGAUCUUUGGCAGGUUUGUUAGCUACUUAGCACGAUAGGAUUAAUAGUUGAAAUAAUUUCAAUUGGUGUUUGAUGUAUAUGCAGCAUUUUGCAUUGAAUGGUGUCAUAUACUGAGUUGGAGCGAAACCGUGGCUUCUUGGAUUUAAAUAAAAUUGGAAGAGAAUAAAAAGCCACCUCUUUUAAGACCUCAGAAUCCUAGCAAGCAUCACUUGUUAGUUCCUAAACAUGAUUUAAGCGUAUGGAAAUAAGCUGACAAGACAAUAAAAGAUGGCAAGAGAAAUGUAAUCUACAAAAGUUUUCUACCGUCAUUAAGAGAAUGUAAUGCAGGACGGU
rnacentral:lncRNA from 1 species